AGAACGAACGCUGGCGGCAGGCUUAACACAUGCAAGUUGAACGGGAGUGUUGAGAUAGCUUGCUAUUUUAACAUGAGAGUAGCGCACUGGUGAGUAACACGUGGGAACGUACCUUUUAGUGGGGGACAACAGUUGGAAACGACUGCUAAUACCGCAUAAGCCCUGAGGGGGAAAGGAGCAAUUCGCUGAGAGAGCGGCCCGCGGAAGAUUAGGCAGUUGGUGGGGUAAAGGCCUACCAAACCUACGAUCUAUAGCUGAUCUGAGAGGAUGAACAGCCACAUUGGAACUGAGACACGGUCCAGACUCCUACGGGAGGCAGCAGUGAGGAAUAUUGGGCAAUGGAGGAAACUCUGACCCAGCCAUGCCGCGUGAGUGAGAAGGUCUUCGGAUUGUAAAGCUCUUUUGUGCAGGAAGAUGAUGACAGUACUGCAAGAAAAAGCACCGGCAAACUUCGUGCCAGCAGCCGC
rnacentral:rRNA from 1 species